rnacentral:rRNA from 1 species
CCCUUAGAUGUCCUGGGCUGCACGCGCGCUACACUGGAAGUUACGGAUUGAGAUACUACCUUGUCCGAAAUGGUCCGGGUAAUCACCUAAAAGCUUGUCACAAUUGGAAUGGAUUAUUGUAACUAGUAAUCCUGAACGAGGAAUUCCUAGUAAGUCCCAGUCAACAGCUGGUACUGAUUACGUCCCUGCCCUUUGUACACACCGCCCGUCGCUACUACUGAUUGGACGUUUAAGCAAGAUUUUUAAACACUGACAGUGUGUAGUUCACGUUAUACUACAGUGAGAAGAAGAAGAUCGAGCUUACUUGUCUAGAGGAAGUAAAAGUCGUAACA